rnacentral:snRNA from 1 species
GGAUGUGAGGGCGAUCUGGCUGCAACAUCUGUCACCCCACUGAUUGCCAGGGUUGAUUCUGCUGAUCUGGCUGGCUAGGCGGGUGUCCCCUUCCUCUCUCACCGCUCCAUGUGCGUCCCUCCCAAAGCUGCGCGCUCGGUCGAAGAGGACGACCAUCCUCGAUAGAGGAGGACCGGUCUUCGGUCAAGGGUAUACGAGUAGCUGCGCUCCCCUGCUAGAACCUCCAAACAAGCUCUCAAGGUCCAAAAGCUGCAUUCUGGAGUAAGACCAAGCCUGUGUCAAAAUCUGAAGCUAUCAUAUUC